rnacentral:rRNA from 1 species
UCCUACGGGGCGCAGCAGUGGGGAAUAUUGCACAAUGGGCGCAAGCCUGAUGCAGCGACGCCGCGUGAGCGAAGAAGUAUUUCGGUAUGUAAAGCUCUAUCAGCAGGGAAGAAAAUGACGGUACCUGACUAAGAAGCUCCGGCUAAAUACGUGCCAGCAGCCGCGGUAAUACGUAUGGAGCAAGCGUUAUCCGGAAUUACUGGGUGUAAAGGGAGCGUAGACGGAUGUGCAAGUCUGAUGUGAAAGGCG